AGACACAAGACCUAACCUAGAGAAGAGAACACAAAUCAACCGUUUCCUCUAUUCCCUCUCAAUUUUUUCUGUGGCUUAGACAAGAGCUGCCCACCCCCUAAGGAUUACAUACACACACAGCCGCAGCGCACAAAAGAGAAGAAAAGAGCAACCUUCAGAUCUCUUCUUCAACAACAUAAAAAUCAGUUGUCUCCACCCCUUAAUUAAAAACCCAGCCAUUGAACCCCCCGCCCCCCAUUCUCCAACAUAGUGGCAAGAAACACACACAAAAAAAAGCAUAAGAUGGCAUACUUAAUCCCUCCAAAAAAUGAAGUAGCGGAACUCCUUCUUCACGGCAAAAAGUAUCCAUCGCACCACCUUAAUCAGCCUUCAAAACCACUAUUUUUAGCUCAAAAGUCCAACUAAAACAACUUUAAAAAAAAACUCGCCAGCAAACCAUCCCUUGAAUUUCUAUUUCUAGUUCGAAACAUGCCAAGAGUAGUCGAGUGAGUCAGAAAAUCAGAGGUAUCAUUGGAGGUUGCGUUUGAGGUUCCCGUGUUGCUACAUUUCUGUUUGAACUCCGUUGCUUGAGCUUAUUCGGCGUCGAUUUCAUCUGUUGUAACUUUAUUGGAGGAGCUUGCUAAUAAAGGAAAUUUGUUGUUGCUAAAGGUGCGAGUGCGGCAAAAAAUGCAUGAUGCAAGACUGUUGGGAUGAUGGUGAAGUUGGACGCCGCUACUAGGCGUGUAUGAACAAGUUUUACAGUGUUCUCGAUGAACCUGUUUGUAAUUUUGAGGUAUGGAUUGAUGAACCUUGUCAGCAGGAAUACUACAAAGAAAAGUUGCAGUAUCUUCGUUGUUUGUGUUUGAAGCAGUGGGAAAGAGAGCGACAAUCCAAACGAGAAGUUGCGGAGUUGAAGGUGAAACUCAAAGAGGUGGAAGAAGAAAAAAAUAAGCUGGAAGACAAAUUUAAGUGGUUGGAGCAGAGAAUACUAGGCGGUCGUGACUAAACAAUGACAUGAAUCUCACUGACGUCUCGAAAACUAAACAAAGUGAUUGCUCGGCCUUGGAAGAUCAUCCUUUUUGGGAGGACAUUAUCUGUUAUUACAUUCACUCUUCAACCAAGGAUAGUUGCUCAGGAGUUUCAACAUCUUCUGUGGAAUUUCCUAGCUAAUAAUUUACUUGCUGAAAACGAUUUCUAUGUUGUCAUUUUCUCUAUCUUUUCAUCAUUCUUUUUAUCUUGAGAACCUUAUAGUUAUUUAAGAGUAUGAAUAUGUUGUUCCCAAAUCUUGUAUGCUAGUGGAGGAAGAUAUAGGAUAAAUGUACUUUUGAAUAAGGAAGUGGGAGCUUUAUCCAUAAAUUUGUGAUUAAAAUUUGAUCACCGAGCAAAACCUUUAUGGUAACCUUUUGUAU